AGAGUUUGAUCAUGGCUCAGAACGAACGCUGGCGGCGUGCCUAACACAUGCAAGUCGAACGUGAUUAGAGAGCUUGCUCUCUAUGAAAGUGGCGCACGGGUGAGUAACGCGUAGAUAAUCUGCCUGAUGAUCGGGGAUAACACUUCGAAAGGGGUGCUAAUACCGGAUAAGCUCACGGAGUCUUUGGAUUCUGCGGGAAAAGGGGGGGACCUUCGGGCCUUCUGUCAUCAGAUGAGUCUGCGUACCAUUAGCUAGUUGGUAGGGUAAAGGCCUACCAAGGCGACGAUGGUUAGCUGGUCUGAGAGGAUGAUCAGCCACACUGGAACUGAGACACGGUCCAGACUCCUACGGGAGGCAGCAGUGGGGAAUUUUGCGCAAUGGGGGAAACCCUGACGCAGCAACGCCGCGUGAGUGAUGAAGGCUCUUGGGUCGUAAAGCUCUGACAGAGGGAAAGCAAGUGUAUUGUGGCUAAUAUCCACGAUACUUGACGGUACCCUCAAAGGAAGCACCGGCUAACUCCGUGCCAGCAGCCGCGGUA
rnacentral:rRNA from 1 species